GGAUUGUUAGCUCAGUUGGUAGAGCAGGGGACUUUUAAUCCCAAGGUCUAGGGUUCGAUUCCCUAACAAUCCACCA
rnacentral:tRNA from 1 species